rnacentral:rRNA from 1 species
UACGAAGGGGGCUAGCGUUGCUCGGAAUUACUGGGCGUAAAGGGCGCGUAGGCGGGUAUUUAAGUCAGAGGUCAAAUCCCAGGGCUCAACCCUGGAACUGCCUUUGAUACUGGAUACCAAGAGUUCGGGAGAGGUGUGUGGAACUCCGAGUGUAGAGGUGAAAUUCGUAGAUAUUCGGAAGAACACCAGUGGCGAAGGCGACACACUGGCCCGAUACUGACGCUGAGGCGCGAAAGCGUGGGGAGCAAACAGG